rnacentral:rRNA from 1 species
GACGAACGCUGGCGGCGUGCUUAACACAUGCAAGUCGAGCGGUAAGGCCCUUUCGGGGGUACACGAGCGGCGAACGGGUGAGUAACACGUGGGUGACCUGCCCUCAGCUCUGGGAUAAGCCUGGGAAACCGGGUCUAAUACUGGAUAUGACUCCAUGACGCAUGUUGUGGGGUGGAAAGCCUUGUGCGGCUGAGGAUGGGGCCCGCGGCCUAUCAGCUUGUUGGUGGGGUGANGGCCUACCAAGGCGACGACGGGUAGCCGGCCUGAGAGGGCGACCGGCCACACUGGGACUGAGACACGGCCCAGACUCCUACGGGAGGCAGCAGUGGGGAAUCUUGCGCAAGUGGGCGAAAGCCUGACGCAGCGACGCCGCGUGAGGGAU